AAGAGUCGUACAAAAACCUCCGUCAGUCAGAGUCACAGUGACUGAACUGAUACUGCAGCUGCUCACACACUUUCACACACUUUCACACACUUUCACACACACUCAACAGCAGAAACACAAAUAUGAUCUUAAUAUCAGCUUUGUUGAGCUUCAUUAGUAUUUCUAUAGAUAAUUAGAAAUUCUUUUGAUGUCAUCAUCAUUUUUAGAUCAUUUAUGGUUUAUUUAUCCUCAUUUCCACUCACUCAAUAUUUUAGUCAUUGCUAUUUUUGAUCAUGUACUUUUAUUAUUUUUUCUUCCUAAUCUUAGUUAUACAGUAAAGAUCUGAGGAACUGAAGCUGUCGAUCACACAGCGAGAGUUUAUCUGGACACUUCCCAAAACUCCUGUUAUAAUCAGUGACGCUCUUACACUACACAAUCAAUCUCUGACUGGAUUUACAUCGUGUUUGCAUUGUUAGUUAUGGUGAAAGCAUUUCUGGAGUGCAGAAAUUUAGUUGUAAUGACGAGAUCACUGCAUUCACACCAUCAACAGACUGUCUGUCAUCUGCUCAGUUUCUCAUCACUGCAACCUUCCCUGUGAUGAACAGAUCUAAAUAUAAGGCAAUAAUCAACACUUUUCACCAUUCGUUCAUUUAGACAGCUGUAAUAGUAAAAAUGUAGUGAUAGUAUUCGAGAAGGUUUCACACGUAAACAAUCAGAGCGCUAAAAUCAGAGUGGAAAUAACCAUUUAUUUCUAAAUUAUGACAAUUAUUUGAUGUAAAAUCAUAUGAACAUUAUAAGUGCACCUCAGGAAACAUUAUAAAUAAUAAUAAAUCAGUUGGUGAAGCGACUCAGACGCCUGCAGUGAAAUCUGUUCAUCUAGGAAACACAUUCACCAUGUCCUGUAAAAGCAGUCCUGACGUCUAUCAGAGUUGGGAUCAUCAACCUCUAUCCUGGUUCAGUGAUAAAGAGUCAAAAACCUCCGUCAGUCAGAGUCACAGUGAUUUGUGCUAGAAACACUGAAUAAGUUCAUUCACAAAUAUGAGGCUGCAGCAGAUGAGAAGAUUUGAAGUCAAUAACAUCAUUUUAGAGCUUCAGACGACUGAGAAUAUCGAGCACAGAUACCCUGAAGACAUCAAACAAGUGAUCAACAGAAUUUGGAUUCAUCAGAUUGUUGAGAAGAUAUAGUUUUAUAAGUGUAUUGAGCCAUGGCUAAAUGAACUAUCUUCUAAACGCUUUGACUAAUUAAAAUCCUUUUGAUAA